CGGGCGGUAGCUCAGCUUGGUAGAGCUUCCGGCUGUAGCCCAGCCUACCAAGCGUACAUGUGGGUGCAGAAACCGGAGUGUCGCAGGUUCAAAUCCUGCCCGCCCGACCA
rnacentral:tRNA from 1 species